GAGUUUGAUCCUGGCUCAGAACGAACGUUGGCGGCGUGGAUUAGGCAUGCAAGUCGAACGAAUCCCUGAGGGCUUGCUUUCAGGGGAAGUGGCGAAAGGGGCAGUAAGGCGUGGGUAACCUACCCUGGGGUCCGGCAUAGCCGUCCUAACGGACGGGUAAUUCCGGGCGACGUAACGCGAUCGCCUGACCGUGUUACCAAAGGUUUACCGCCCUGGGAGGGGCCCACGUGGUAUUAGCUUGUUGGUGAGGUAACGGCUCACCAAGGCAAAGAUGCCUAGCGGGUGUGAGAGCACGACCCGCGCCACUGGCACUGAGACACUGGCCAGACCCCUACGGGAGGCUGCAGUCGAGGAUCUUCGGCAAUGGGCGCAAGCCUGACCGAGCGACGCCGCGUGUGCGAUGAAGGCCUUCGGGUUGUAAAGCACUGUCGAGGGGGAGGAAAGCCCGCAAGGGUCUGACCUAUCCCUGGAGGAAGCACGGGCUAAGUUCGUGCCAGCAGCCGCGGUAAGACGAACCGUGCGAACGUUGUUCGGAUUCACUGGGCUUAAAGGGCGCGUAGGCGGGUUCUCAAGUCCGGGGUGAAAUCCUCUCGCUUAACGAGAGAACUGCCCCGGAUACUGGGAAUCUCGAGGGAGGUAGGGGCAUGUGGAACUUCCGGUGGAGCGGUGAAAUGCGUAGAUAUCGGAAGGAACGCCGGUGGCGAAAGCGACGUGCUGGACCUCAUCUGACGCUGAGGCGCGAAAGCCAGGGGAGCAAACGGGAUUAGAUACCCCGGUAGUCCUGGCCCUAAACGAUGGGUACUAGAUUGGAGACUGACAUGGGUUUCCAAUCGAAGCUAAAGUGUUAAGUACCCCGCCUGGGGAGUAUGGUCGCAAGGCUGAAACUCAAAGGAAUUGACGGGGGCUCACACAAGCGGUGGAGCAUGUGGUUCAAUUCGAAGCAACGCGCAGAACCUUACCAGCCUUUGACAUGUCCCGUAUGAGUACCAGAGAUGGAACUCUUCAGUUCGGCUGGCGGGAACACAGGUGCUGCAUGGCUGUCGUCAGCUCGUGUCGUGAGAUGUUGGGUUAAGUCCCGCAACGAGCGCAACCCUCGCCCUUAGUUGCCAUCAUUUAGUUGGGCACUCUAAGGGGACUGCCGGUGAUAAGCCGCGAGGAAGGUGGGGAUGACGUCAAGUCCUCAUGGCCCUUACAGGCUGGGCUACACACGUGCUACAAUGGCGGUGACAAUGGGACGCAAUGGGGAGACCCUGCGCAAAUCUCAAAAAGCCGUCUCAGUUCGGAUUGUGCUCUGCAACUCGAGCACAUGAAGUUGGAAUCGCUAGUAAUCGCAGAUCAGCACGCUGCGGUGAAUACGUUCCCGGGCCUUGCACACAC
rnacentral:rRNA from 1 species